GGCCCCCGGCUCUCUUUCGGCGGGGCUGAGGAGAGGGGGCUCGCGGCGCCCAGAGCUCGGGUCCUGGCCAGGCUCCCCGGCAACCGGCCCCCGCAAGUUCCCGCGGCCGCGGCGCGCCGGCGGCGGCCCCCUUUGUUUAAGUUCUCGGAUGCCACCAUCGGGGAGCCCUGCAGCCCUGGUCGGCGCCGUGGCCGCGCGGACGCGACGGACCGCUCCCUGCGGCUGCUCGCGCUCUCCCCCAACCCCUUCUCUCCCUCUCCCUCUCUCUCCCUCCCUUCCUCCCUCCCUCCCUCCCUCCUCUGGGAUUCAGACAAGUAUCGUGCGUGCCCUUGCGAGUUUGGAGGGUGCCGGCCAGCGGGAGCCACACGAUGUAUUCGAAAAACCACCAGCCCGACCUUUCCCCGAUAGAUACAUGAUAAUAACUGCAGUUGAAGGAUAGAUGCUUGAUGUCCCCCUCUGCCAGUUGGUGUUUGUCAGAGGACAGCCAAGGAAGAGGGGCAAAUUGCCUGCAUAUAUGUGUUAAUCAAGAGAUUUCAGGACCCUGCCUUCAAAAGGAAGUGUUAAAAGAAGGUUUUGACAUUAAGACUUUUCUCAGAGUUGAUGUAGUCCAAGGGCGGGCUAAAACAACGGACUGCAGGCUAAAUCUGACCUCCCGCCUGGGUUGGUAAAUAAAGUUUUAUUAGAAUGCAGCCACGCCUAUCUGUUUAUGUGUUGUCCACAGCUGCUAUUGCACUACAACCUCAAAUAGUUGUGAAAGGGACCAAAUGGGCUGCAAAGCUUAAAAUAUUUACUGUCUGGUCCUUCAUAGGAACAUUUUGCUGAACACUGAUGUAAUCCUUCUAAUUCAUUGAAUAUCUAUUAAACAUUUACUGCAUGCUGAGAAAAAUAUUCAUGGGAAUUUUUCUAGUGGCACUCUUUUGAAGAAAUGCUGAAGGCCUUUGGCGAUGUCCUGGAUUUUUAGGUGUUUAGGACUGGUGGUAUGACCAGCAGGGAGUGAGAAGGAUUUAGGGCAAGAAAUCAUGUUUGUUGAGCACGUUCUGCUAUUAUCAUCUCGAUGACAAGUCAUUCAUCAUGGCCCUGCCCUUCCUCCCUCUGCUGCCUGGAGAGCGUGCAGAUACAGCUGGAACUUCUGACUCGGCGUGCAUUUUAGUAACUAUUUCAAGACCCCAUAGUCAGCAUCGUGGACUUCUGCUUCCAGACCAGAAGAUGGCUAUCCUUUGCCACCAGUUGGUUGGGAGGAUCAAGUGAGAGAAUGGGAAGUUUGCCAAUAUUUCCCUCAAAUUCAAUGUUGCUGGCUGCUUGUUCUCUGGAGGUUGAGUCUUUGAACCUGAAAGUCAUAUAACUUUCUGAAACACAGGUGCCAGUGAAGUUGCCUGAUGAAAUAAACAUCCUUCCAGAAUCUUCCAUUGAACAGUUGUCACUGUAAGACCUCUGAGAGGUUCAGUAGAAAGUGCCGACUCAUCUACUCACCCCCACAAGGUCCCACAGAAGAAAAAAUGCUUAGGAGUUCUCAAUUGUGUCUCAACUGUGUACUAAGCUUCGCUGGAACAGAAGUCUGCCAUUUAUUAGGCUGAGAGGCAGCUUAGUUUCUUGAUUAAAAAUAUUUGAACAAGAAGCUGGACAAAUCAGUGUUAACAUCUGCUCCCAGACGAAUGCAACUUUAACGUACCAGCUCUCUCUUCUCGCCUACCCGAUCUUCCCCCACCGCAGCAAAAAUUAAUGUCCCCCUUUUCUGGGCUUUCAAAGAAUAUGUUCUCAUGUCUGUUAUGGUAUUUAUUUCAAUGUGUAUUCUAUUUAUUUGUUUAAAUGUCUGACUCCCCUCCUCCUGUUGCUAAUAGGGUGAGUCUAUAAGCUUAUUAAACAUGAGGACUGGGUUUUUUCUUUUCUUUUUUUUUUUUCCAUCAGAGCUCAGUUUGACCCUGGUUGGUGCUUAAUAAAAGUACCCAUAAAAUGUAUAAAUCCUCUAUUUCUGGAACUUAUCUUCAGACUUAAAUGCACAGCCUCAUAUUUAUUCCUAAUGCAUUUUACCUUUCGAGCCUCAACUUCCCAGUGGUGUUUAUUAUUACUUUGUCAGAAGAUUCAACCAGAAAAAAUCAAAACAAAACAAAUUGCAUCAAUAGAAUGCAUUCAUAUAGCUUGUGUGUCUGAAUAUUCCAGAUGCAUUUAGUCAUUUAUACAAAAAUUAUGCAUGCAUCUGUGGUCAGUGAAUGAGGUACAAUGGAAUUUGCAAAAACAGUAAUAGUCAAUAAUUAAUAUAUAUUACUUAUCAUUAUAAUUUGUUCAUAUUUUUCAAACAGGCAAACUAAGGCUCAGAGAGAUUAAGUGAUUAAGGGCAACACAGGAACUUAAUGGCAGAACUACAACUACAACUACAACAUGUAAAUAACACGGUAGAAAUAACUGAGGCCCUUGAACUGAAAUUUAUUGAAGCCUGGGGAGAUGUUAGACAAGGAAGUCUUGAUGAAAGAGGCAUCUUGAGUUGACCUUGCAGUGAACAGACUAGAAGGAGAUCAGAGAGAAUUCCAGCAUACAGAUAACUGAGGAGGGCAUGGUGCAAGCAUUGAAAGAGAAGAUGCUUGAGUGUGACCAGAUAACUGUCAGAGAAGACCUGGGGCCAGUUUUCUUAGUGCUCCUCCUACACCUAGAAAAUUGGAGAUGACUAAAACUCACCCUUUUUUCCACAACCUUCUGCUUUGAGUUGCUCAGGGAAUAAUUAAAAGGAAAAACAAGGCAACUGACAAAUGAAACUGUUUUGGUUUAAAAUAACAACACUUCAAGAGGAACUUUGCAUUAACAUGCAUGUCUUUCAAGAGGAAAAAAACAAUCACAUCUAGUAAUUUUCUUAUCUUGUUGCUGCUUGACAAAAUCUGUACUAAAAUCUAUUAAAAAAAGAAAGAAAGAAAGAAAGUAAGUAAGUAAGAAAAGAAAAGAAAAAAAUAGAGGAAGAAAACCUGAGCACUUGCCUGGAACCAAAAAGCUCUAACCGUGAGCAGCAGCGAAGCCCCUCAUCUUUUUGCUUGUUUCCAGGUGCCUCACCCUGGGUUUUCUGGGGCCCCUACAGAUGGCUGGCAGGCCCCGCCCCGCGACCUUCUGACUUCGGGGCCCCCUCCCAGCGCCCCGGACCCGAGCGCUCCACCCCAUUCAUUCUGCUUGACCUGGGAGCCCCGGGUGAAGCUUCGCUCCUGGAAUUCAACCUCGGACCCCGUCAUUGUCCUGCUCGCCUGACCUCUGCUACGCUCAGUUCCAACAAGGUGAUCUGGAGAAAAACGCCACUCGCUCCCUGGCGAGCUUCCCUGACUCGUCUUUUCGCGCUCUCGCCGGCGGUUCUUUUCUCCGGGGCGGACCACCAAGCGCUCGCCUUUGGAUGGCCAAUUCAUAGCGCCGUCAGGGGCUCGCCCAUUGUGCCCGGGCGCCGCGCCUGACCCCGCCGGCAGCUGCGUGUAGCCCGAUUGUUCCCUCAUUAGGGCGGCGAAGAGCGGCUGAAAGGCAGACGGCCCUUUCCCACAAUUGCUGACAAUGUGCGGCCGCAGAUUUGUAACAAUCCCGGGCGAGGAGAAAUGGAGAGGAUGUGGCUCCAAAUGGGCUCCAGGGAUUUUGCAUUCCCACGCGAGGAGGGGGGAAAAUCCGAAUUAAAAACACCCCCUUCCCCUAAAGCCCCCUCCCAAGCCCCCGAUCCUUCACCGUCUGUAGUGGUUUUAACCAGGGUUUUGGUGGUGGCUGCCAACACCCACGGGAAGUAUCUGGGCGGGAGAAAUGAUAAAGAGUUGCAAAGAACUAGAGGAGAGCGGCUGAGCCUGGGCACGUUAGGGUCUUUUGGCGCAAUGGCAAGAAUUGCCAAGAAGUAAACACAAGGCUGAACUCUGCCCUGCGAGGAGCGGGUACCGGCCACGAGUAGAAAAGCUCUAGCAGGAUGGAGCAGUUGCACUGCAGGCUGAGCUGCACUUGCAAAAGCUUCUUUUAGAAUUAGGAGGCAUCUGCCUUGGGCAGCAAUCCCCUUUCGAGCCUUGCUUCUAGAUCCAGUUGAUUUUUUAAAAAAAUUUACUGUAAUGCUGUUUGCCCCAAGAAGGUGUGUGUUCUGCAGCUCUUUCCCAGUGAAAAUGUCUGCUGGAGAGGUGAGGGUACAUCAACUCCAGACUUUCACACUCUCACUUUUCCUCCUGGGCAGGAAAGUGAGAAAACUGAGCCCAAACAGCCAUUCUCUGCCCCCCUCCUCUUUGGGCCAGUUCCAUUGAAAGGGCCUUCUCUAAAACUGCAAAUAAAGGGCCCCGCUUCAGAGAAACCGGGCAAGGGCUCAAGGGGAAAGGGACAAAAAAGGACUAUCUCUGUCCUCCGCUCUUAGAUGCAUACAAAAGGCUAUGUUCAGAUUCUUAGGUCUGUGAAAUGCUAUUUGAGCUGAAACACAAUACCCGUCUCACAGCGCCGACAUGGAAAGUGAUUUUCGGCAGCGAUAUCCUAGGGUAAUUCUCUUUAUUUUAUAAACAACAUUAACUCAUCUUAUGAGAUGAUGCAAAAACAUUUAAAAGUUUUCUUUUGCAGUUUUGAAAAAGUGAAUUCUAGUGCUAAGACAGCGUCUCUGCCUCAGGAAGCCACCACAUUUAUCAGCAGGUGAUUUAAAAUUGUGCACUCAAAGAAAAACUUAGUUCAAGAAGUUUAAGGGAUCGUAGACACAGGCUUUUCGUUUCAAAAGUCUUCCCCCAAACAGUGUUUUUGAGUUGCAAAAAUGUGUUUAUUCCUUUAGUAGAAUAUAAGGUUAGAAUUGAAGGGAAAAAAAAAUUCUCUCCCUAGAUGUGUCUGUCUAAAAUAUACAUUCAAGGAUAUCAGUUUUCUCUAUUUCAAUUAAAUAAUUCUAAGUGCUGUAGAAUUUAAAAUUGUUCUUGAAGCAGAACUAAAGAUAUUUUUAUGAUCACUACCAUUUUAGAUUAAGCUUCUUAAAAAAGAUCAAAUCUCAUCUCUGGGGUGCAUCUUGUUUUGUGACUUUUGUCUAAGCUACUAAAGCCGUCUUGACAAGGUAUAAAGGGCUUUAGGUUCUUGUUUUUAAUAUUAUAACAAGAAGUGGGGGCAUAAUGGUAAGGCAAUUUAUGUUAGCCUAGAAAAACCAUUGCAAAGAUUAACUUAGCUGGGGUGGUUUUCUGUCUCCUUGUUAGCAGAUGGUUUUCUAUUGAAUCUUAAGCUUGAAUUCAAAUGUGUAAAGUUUUUCUUUAAAAAAAAGUCAGUAGUUUCAAUUUGGGGUACAUUAUGCAUAUAUAUUCCUGAAGUUUGUGAUGGCUGGUUUGUGGUGGUGGGAGUGUUUCUUCCAAUUUUUAGUUUUCUCUGAGUCUGUUAAAUUUCACCAUUCUUCUAGUUUUGAGCUAGUAAAUCUGCGCUUGAUCUGGACCCAAACAUAUUUUGAUCGUAAAUAAAAAGUCUUCUUUUA